rnacentral:lncRNA from 1 species
GCCCUACACUACAAGAGUAUCUUAUGCCUUCUCAAGUAUGUCAAUGAUAGAAAAAAAUUUUAAGCCACUGGCCAGGUGCAGUGGCACUUUUGGAGGCCGAGGCGGGAGAAUCGCUUGAGCCCAGGGGUUCCAGACCCCACUUUGGGUGAUGAUAAUGUAUCAGUGCAGGUUCAUCAACUGUUACCAAUGUACCCUCACGGUGGUGAUGUUGAUAAUGGGAGAGGUGGGUUAUGGGGAGCAGGGAAGCUCUGUACUUUCAUUUUUGCUGUGAACCUAAAACUGCUCUAAAAAAUAAAGACUAUUAAAAAAAAAAGAAUGCUAGCCUGGGCAACAUGGCAAAACCCCAUCUCUGGAACAAAAACAAAAAAAAAUGCAAAAAUUAGCUGGGUUUCAUGGCACACACCCAUAGUCCCAGCUACUCAGGAGGCUGAGGUUGGAGGAUGGCUUGAACCUGGGAGGCAUAGGUUGCAGCGAGCUGAGAUCGUGCCACUACACUCCAGUCUGGGUGACAGAGUGAGAUCCUGUCUCAAAGAAUACAAAUAAAUGAAUAAACAACAAGAAAAACUUGGACACAGGGCAUGACUGAGAAAAGGGAGUCAAGGAUGACUCACAGGCCGGGUGACUGGAAGAAGACUGGUGUUCCCAGAAUGGGGAAGUUGGAAAAGGGGGGCUGUUUUGAGAGGUAAGAAAGAAACUGGAACAUGUUAGGGUGCUGGGGACAUCCAGACGGGAGAGACAGUCUUUAGGUGUCUGGAGAGCAGCUUGGGGCUGAGAUAAGGAAAGGAUACAGGGAUGCAGAUGAGAGAAAAAAAUUCAACAUUUAAUGUUCUGCUUUUAAACAGAGAGAGAAAUUCUCUUUUCUAAAGGAAAAGCAUCACGACUCACUGGAAAUAACCCUCUUUCCUUCACGGUGCCUCUGUCAUGAAGAUCCACUGCUGAGGAGCAGUUUAGAGGGGAAUGCCCCCCUAAAGUGGAGACCCCAAGUUGUUUGCUGUGAGAUUCCAGAGCCCAGAGCUACAGUAACACUGCCUGCCCCCUAACCCAGACAGUGACCUUCGGGGGCAGCAGGAAGAGCACAUCUUCUCCCCAGCUCUUCCAAACACCACUCUACAAUAAGAGCUGCUACAUCAGUGAGAAAAGGGAAGAUAAUUACAGUGUGAUAGAAAACUCUUUUGUGUGUGUUUGUAUUUAUAACUUCUAAGGAGUGUUGGUUCCCUACAUAUAAAGCCCUUUGUUCUGCCCUGUACUUUGACUUGGGUUUGUAAGUUGAAGAGAGGAAAUGGGGAGUAUCCAUAGUUACAGAGGAAGAAGACUGGAGCUCACG